GCCUGCCCUGUGACAAUGUUUAACGGCCGCGGUAUUUUGACCGUGCGAAGGUAGCGUAAUCACUUGUCUUUUAAAUGAAGACCUGUAUGAAAGGCAUCACGAGAGUUUAACUGUCUCUAUUUUCUAAUCAAUGAAAUUGAUCUUCUCGUGCAGAAGCGAGAAUAUUACCAUUAGACGAGAAGACCCUAUGGAGCUUCAAACACUUAAAUUAAUUAUGUAAAAUUAUAACCCCCCAAGGGAAAAAAUCAUUCAUAUAAUAUUCCUAAUUUAACUGUUUUUGGUUGGGGUGACCGAGGGGGAAAGAAAAUCCCCCUUAUCGACUGAGUACUAAGUACUUAAAAAUUAGAACGACAGUUCUGAUUAAUAAAACAUUUACCGAAAAAUGACCCAAAUUUUUCUGAUCAAUGAACCAAGUUACCCUAGGGAUAACAGCGCAAUCCUUUCCCAGAGUCCCUAUCGCCGAAAGGGUUUACGACCUCGAUGUUGGAUCAGGACAUCCUAAUGGUGCAACCGCUAUUAAGGGU
rnacentral:rRNA from 1 species